rnacentral:rRNA from 1 species
CCGCCCGUCGCUACUACCGAUUGAAUGCUUCAGUGAGGCGUUCGGACUGGCCCAGAGAGGCGGGCAACUGCCGCUCAGGGCCGGAAAGUUCUCCAAACUCGGUCAUUUAGAGGAAGUAAAAGUCGUAACAAGGUCUCCGUUGGUGAACCAGCGGAGGGAUCAUUA